UACAGAGGGGGCAAGCGUUGUUCGGAAUUACUGGGCGUAAAGGGCGCGUAGGUGGCCUUCUAAGUUGAACGUGAAAUCCCACGGCUCAACCGUGGAACUGCUUGGCAUACUGGCGGUCUUGAGCAACCUAGGGGCGAGCGGAACAAAUGGUGGAGCGGUGAAAUGCGUAGAUAUCAUUUGGAACGCCAAUGGUGAAAACAGCUCGCUGGGGGUUUGCUGACGCUGAGACACGAAAGCCAGGGGAGCGAACAGG
rnacentral:rRNA from 1 species